CGCCCAUUGGCUGAGGCCAGCACUCGCGUCAGCUGGCCCCGACCGCACCUUGCGAUGUGACUGGUUGGCGCGGCGCCUCUUUUCCAUAUCCGUUUCUGAUUGGUUCUCGCGCACACCCUUACUCCGAGGACCACUCAGCAUCCUCACUGCUUUGGCCUCCCACCCCGCCAACCCGGUUUCCCUCCGGGCGGGAGCGGGGCGGGAGCGGACACCAGCGGGACGCGGAUGGCCAAUGGGGGCGCGGAGAGAGGGCUGGGAGGUGGGCCCUGCGGCCGGCCGGCUCGCUGGGGAAUGCUCAGCCUAUGGGCCCGCGCCCCACAUCCCGGGUCCUGGAGCGCCCCCGUCGGCUGUUGGCAUCCCAUCAUGUCGCGCCUAGGGCCACGCCCGGCUGUCCGUCGCGCGGGAGGGGCGCCCACUUUCAAGGUGGGGAGCACGCGGCGAGGCCCACGCGGUAGACAGUCGGGCUGCCAUUGUGGCGUGCUUGGCGCUGUUUUGGUGGGGGCCUGGGGGCCCUCAGCCAUUGCUGGGUGUGUGAGGGAUCCGUUCGGAGAACUACCAGCCUGGCGGGUCUGACCCAAGUCGGAUCUCACUCUGAUGCCCAGGCUGGAGUACAGUGACAUGAUCAUAGCCCACUGCAGCCUUGACCUUUCUGUCUCAGCAGGAAGCAGUCCUCCCAUCUCAGCCUCCCAAGAAGCUACAGGAUUCUGGAGCUUCUUCAGGUUCUGGAUGAAUAAGGGAGAGUUCUCUGGCCUUCAGUCUAUUGAGACCGCUGCUGAAGAUAUGCUCAAGGCCCAACAUCGUUUAGUCCAGGAGUUUUGUCACAGGAUCAUAGGUCAUGAGACCUCAUUACACAGAAGGCAGAUGGCUCGGUUGUGCCCACUCAGUUCCCAGGACCUCUGCCACAGGUCUCCAAACGCCGGCACUAAGGGUGCUGCUCUGUCUCAAGGCAAGUAUCUUUAUCUUCUCAGUGCACUGCAUUUGAGUGGUUCUGAUUUCUACCACUUAAAGAAAGUCAUUUCCCUGCUUCCCCACUGGCUGUCUCCCACUUUUUCCUAAUCUAACUUUGCAGGGAUCCAGCUUUUCCCUUCUCCAACAUGAGACAAACACCCUGACUCUUUUUCUCACUACUUUAUCUCUUUCAUAAUAGACUUACUAGCUUGUUAAGAUGAUCUAGAUAAAACAAUGAAGACCCAAACUUAACAUCAUAAAGAGUAUAUUCUGGGGAUAAUAUUCUUCAGUCCUUAGAAAAUUAAAAGCCAGUAUUUUGAAAUAAGCAACAUACUGCUUCUAAGUGGCAAAAUGCAAAUAAUACUGUGCAGUAUUUAGGUCCACAUCUGGUUGUGUUUAAUUCUCAAUAACUCACCAUCUUAUAUAUGUCUUGGUUGAAAUUAGUUCUGCAUCAGAAAAAAAUGGCGUAAAGAGAUAAUGUGCAAAUUAUGUGAGCAUAUUUGCAAAUGAUGCUCCUAAAUACUUGAGAAUUGAGAGACUUCUGGUGAAAUAAAGGAAAAUUCUUUCAUCCA
rnacentral:lncRNA from 13 species